GACGAACGCUGGCGGCGUGCUUAACACAUGCAAGUCGAGCGGUAAGGCCCUUUCGGGGGUACACGAGCGGCGAACGGGUGAGUAACACGUGGGUGACCUGCCCUCAGCUCUGGGAUAAGCCCGGGAAACUGGGUCUAAUACUGGAUAUGACUCCAUGACGCAUGUUGUGGGGUGGAAAGCCUUGUGCGGCUGAGGAUGGGCCCGCGGCCUAUCAGCUUGCUGGGGGGUGAUGGCCUACCAAGGCGACGACGGGUAGCCGGCCUGAGAGGGCGACCGGCCACACUGGGACUGAGACACGGCCCAGACUCCUACGGGAGGCAGCAGUGGGGAAUCUUGCGCAAUGGGCGAAAGCCUGACGCAGCGACGCCGCGUGAGGGAUGACGGCCU
rnacentral:rRNA from 1 species